CUGCUCUGUAACGGUGCUGGUCCAAAAAUGUAACAUUUUAGAAGCUUUUGAAAUGUGUGUUAUGGUUAUAGGAAAUAGAAAGGAGAAAGGAAUGUGCAUUUAAUCAGAAUGUGUCCUAAUUCUGUGCACCUGUGAUUAUUUCUGGAUGACACUCCAUCAAAAUGUCCUGUGUACAUUCUGCUGGAUUUGGUGGCCUACCUUUGACAUUUCUUCUUUCCAUAAAACAAGAGGAAAUCUCUAAAGAUACAAAGAGGACAGCCCUCUUCUCCCACAAUGAAAACCCCACAUCUAAAGAGCCAAAGCUAAGUUGUCAAGAGAAAUGGAGGCCCAGACAGCUGCAAUGACUCGUCCAGUGUUGCAAAGACAGUUAACGCCAGAGGCAGUGAGUCUCAGGAACAAAGAGCUUGGUUGGUUCUCCCUUGGACAAACACUGAAUAUGACAAGGCUCUUCAGGGACCACAUAACGCUCAAUGUGAAAACUAAAUACUCAGAAUGGGCAACAAAAAGCAGAGAGGCUGCCAAACAAAGUAAAUUUCAGGUCUUUGACAACUACUUACAAAACACAGAAAGAGAAUUCCUUGGCAGAGAAGCUCCCAGGAGUUCUACUCAAGAGACUGUUUCCUGUCAUGACAACUUUCCUGGCAUCUGCCUGUAUUCAAAAGAUGUUCUGAGGCGCACAAUUGAGUGUGAAGAUCAGCCUUGUAAAACUUCUAUGCUUUUAAGUUCUCUUCAUCCUCAUGUAAUGUUUUGAGAAUUUAUUCUAACUCAAGUUCAUAUACCUGCAAAUCAAGCCCACCACUACCAUCGUAUAUGGUCCAGAUGCAGUGCCUGGAGCUCGGCAUAUAUAAUCUCUAACCUUUAACACAACACCAACAAAGAAGAUGCAUACAUGUGUGUGUGUGUGUGUGUGUGUGUGUGUAUACAUAUACAUCUGUCUAUAUAUCUCAUUGUCCAGAUGUGAAACUAAGGUUCCAAGAAGCUCAGUAACGUGUCCAAGGCCACCUAGCCGGGAAGGAAGAGCCAGAAUCCAGAAUCCCACCUGGGUCCCUCAGACCCCACUAUCUACAGUCUUUACACCCAGCCAGUUUGCCUCAGCUCUUCACUACUUCUCUCCCAUACAGAUUUUAGUUUUCACUUUUUUCUCCUUGUUUCUAUCCUUUCAGUCCUUUUCCACAGUCCUUUCUAACUCUCUCUAGCUUUAUUUCUAAAUCUUCUUACUACACUCUAGUUCACUGUUUCCUAGUGGGAUCCCAAAGGGGAAGUCCAUUUGCAUUAGAACCACCUUUCAGUCAAACGGGUAACACCCAGGCUCCAGCCCAGGCCAGCUGAGUAGGAGUAUCUGGGGUUGGAGCAUAGGAAUGGACAUUUUGAUCAAGCUCCCUAAGAAAUUAUUUUGCACAUCAAAGUUUGAAAGCUGCUAUUAUAGUUAUUAUAAAAGCUUAAGUACUAUGUGUAAAUUAAAAUUGCUUCUCUUC
rnacentral:lncRNA from 1 species